UACAGAGACCUCAAGCGUUAUCCGGAUUUACUGGGCGUAAAGGGUCCGCAGGCGUCCGCCGAAGUUUCUCGUCAAAUCUCUGGGCUCAACCCGGAGGCUGCGGGAAAAACUGGGCGGAUUGAGGACGGGAGAGGCACAUGGAAUUGCCGGUGUAGUAGUAAAAUGCGUUGAUAUCGGCAAGAACACCAGAGGCGAAGGCGAUGUGCUGGAACGUUCCUGACGCUCAUGGACGAAAGCGUGGGGAGCAAAACGG
rnacentral:misc_RNA from 1 species